rnacentral:tRNA from 1 species
GGCUCGGUAACUUAGUUGGUAAAGCGCUCGUCGAGCAUACAAGAGUCCAGGGUUCAAAUCCCAGCCGAGCAC